GAUGAACGCUGGCGGCGUGCCGAAUACAUGCAAGUCGAACGGUGAAGGUGGGAGCUUGCUCCUGCUGGAUCAGUGGCGAACGGGUGAGUAACACGUGAGUAACCUGCCCUUGACUCUGGGAUAAGCGUUGGAAACGACGUCUAAUACCGGAUACGAGCUUCAGCCGCAUGGCUAGGAGUUGGAAAGAUUUUUCGGUCAAGGAUGGACUCGCGGCCUAUCAGCUUGUUGGUGAGGUAAUGGCUCACCAAGGCGACGACGGGUAGCCGGCCUGACGGGGUAACCGGCCACACUGGGACUGAGACACGGCCCAGACGCCGACGGGAGGCAGCAGUGGGGAAUAGUGCACAAUGGGCGCAAGCCUGAUGCAGCGACGCCGCGUGAGGGACGACGGCCUUCGGGUUGUAAACCUCUUUUAGCAGGGAAGAAGCGCAAGUGACGGUACCUGCAGAAAAAGCACCGGCUAACUACGUGCCAGCCGCCGCCGUAA
rnacentral:rRNA from 1 species